GACGAACGCUGGCGGCGUGCCUAAUACAUGCAAGUCGAGCGGACUUGACAGAGCUUGCUCUGUUCAAGUUAGCGGCGGACGGGUGAGUAACACGUGGGCAACCUGCCCUGCAGAUUGGGAUAACUCCGGGAAACCGGGGCUAAUACCGAAUAAUAUCGAAGAUUUCAUGAUCUUCUUUUGAAAGAUGGCUUUGGCUAUCACUGCAGGAUGGUCCCGCGGCGCAUUAGCUAGUUGGUGAGGUAACGGCUCACCAAGGCGACGAUGCGUAGCCGACCUGAGAGGGUGAUCGGCCACACUGGACUGAGACACGGCCCAGACUCCUACGGGAGGCAGCAGUAGGGAAUCUUCCGCAAUGGACGAAAGUCUGACGGAGCAACGCCGCGUGAGUGAUGAAGGUUUUCGGAUCGUAAAACUCUGUUGUUAGGGAAGAACAUGUACGGGAGUAACUGUCCGUACCUUGACGGUACCUGACCAGAAAGCCACGGCUAACUACGUGCCAGCCGCCGCAGUAAGAC
rnacentral:rRNA from 1 species